ACUAUUCGUUGAGUAUGGGCAAAAUCUGAUGAAUCAGAUUCGACUAAGCAAAUCCUUAGUCGGGCUCACCCCUACUGCCACCUACUGGACAAUGCAGUAGAACAUAACUGGUCUCUAAUCCUAUAAUACAGUACAUUACUUUUCAUUACAGUAAAUAAAGAUGACUGAAUAUUAAUAUAAAAUGAAUAUACAAAAACAUCUUUUUACAGGUGCUACACCUUGCUCGUCACUGUCAAUUUUCUCUAACUGACUAACAAAAGCCAGAAAGGGGCGGGAUUUAAGAUAUUAACUUUGUCUACAUGAAUCACAGAAAAGAAACUAACCAGACUCUAUCUCUCCAGGGUACAUUGUCCAGGUUCAUAGCUGCUGCUAAUGACAGAACACAAGUCCUUUCCUUUGUGGUGAUUUGGACUUAUAUUUUGUUUUGUGUGCACUUUGUUUUCGCCUGUGUUGCUGGUGUGGUUUCUGUGUUUUCAGAGGCUGGGGCGUGGCCUCUGGUGCUGGAGCUCCUGAUUUCACUCACCUGCUCCUCAGCUACCCUCAUCAGUGACAGCUCAAAACUCCUGUGUUCCAUUCCCAUGCUGCAAGAUUGUCUCCACUCUCCAUGUGCCCCAAUGUCUCUGCCUUAUCCCCCCAGCCUCUACCUCAGCUUCCAGCCACACCACUCAGCUUUCCAAAUAAAUCACCUUUCCACUGA